rnacentral:rRNA from 1 species
UACGUAGGGUGCAAGCGUUAAUCGGAAUUACUGGGCGUAAAGCGUGCGCUAGGCGGUUUGGUAAGACAGACUGUUGAAAUCCCCGGGCUUAACCUGGGAAUUGCAUUUGUGACUGCCCGGCUAGAGUGUGUCAGGAGGGGGGUAGAAUUCCACGUGUAGCAGUGAAAUGCGUAGAGAGUGUGGAGGAAUACCGAUGGCGAAGGCAGCCCCCCUGGGAUAACACU